rnacentral:rRNA from 1 species
GAUGAACGCUGGCGGCGUGCCUAAUACAUGCAAGUCGAACGAGAGCGACCGGUGCUUGCACUGGUCAAUCUAGUGGCGAACGGGUGAGUAACACGUGGGUAACCUGCCCAUCAGAGGGGGAUAACAUUCGGAAACGGAUGCUAAAACCGCAUAGGUCCUUUAACCGCAUGGUUGAAGGAGGAAAAGAGGCGCAAGCUUCUGCUGAUGGAUGGACCCGCGGUGCAUUAGCUAGUUGGUGAGGUAACGGCUCACCAAGGCCGUGAUGCAUAGCCGACCUGAGAGGGUGAUCGGCCACAUUGGGACUGAGACACGGCCCAAACUCCUACGGGAGGCAGCAGUAGGGAAUCUUCCGCAAUGGACGCAAGUCUGACGGAGCAACGCCGCGUGAGUGAAGAAGGUUUUCGGAUCGUAAAACUCUGUUGUUAGAGAAGAACAAGUGCUAGAGUAACUGUUAGCGCCUUGACGGUAUCUAACCAGAAAGCCACGGCUAACUACGUGCCAGCAGCCGCGGUAAUACGUAGGUGGCAAGCGUUGUCCGGAUUUAUUGGGCGUAAAGCGAGCGCAGGCGGUUCCUUAAGUCUGAUGUGAAAGCCCCCGGCUCAACCGGGGAGGGUCAUUGGAAACUGGGGAACUUGAGUGCAGAAGAGGAGAGUGGAAUUCCAUGUGUAGCGGUGAAAUGCGUAGAUAUAUGGAGGAACACCAGUGGCGAAGGCGACUCUCUGGUCUGUAACUGACGCUGAGGCUCGAAAGCGUGGGUAGCAAACAGG